rnacentral:rRNA from 1 species
UACGUAGGGGGCGAGCGUUGUCCGGAAUUAUUGGGCGUAAAGAGCGUGUAGGCGGUUCGGUAAGUCUGCCGUGAAAACCUGGGGCUCAACCCCGGGCGUGCGGUGGAUACUGCCGGGCUAGAGGGCGGUAGAGGCGAGUGGAAUUCCCGGUGUAGCGGUGAAAUGCGCAGAUAUCGGGAGGAACACCAGUAGCGAAGGCGGCUCGCUGGGCCAUUCCUGACGCUGAGACGCGAAAGCUAGGGGAGCGAACAGG